rnacentral:rRNA from 1 species
UACGUAGGGUGCAAGCGUUGUCCGGAAUUAUUGGGCGUAAAGAGCUCGUAGGCGGUUUGUCGCGUCUGCUGUGAAAACUCAGGGCUUAACCCUGAGCCUGCAGUGGGUACGGGCAGACUAGAGUGUGGUAGGGGAGAUCGGAAUUCCUGGUGUAGCGGUGGAAUGCGUAGAGAUCAGCAAGAAUACCCGUGGCGAAGGUGGCCCCCUGGGCCGAGCCUGACGCUGAGGCGCGAAGGCUAGGGGAGCGAACGGG